rnacentral:ncRNA from 1 species
UUUUUUUUACAGAACUACGGAUAACAAUUGCUGUAAGAAGUCAGCAGAGGUCAUAGUAUGUAUGGAUACAAGCUUGGCAUUACCAAGAAGUCUUACGAAAUACAGAAGGAC